rnacentral:rRNA from 1 species
UGGGGAAUAUUGCACAAUGGGCGCAAGCCUGAUGCAGCCAUGCCGCGUGUAUGAAGAAGGCCUUCGGGUUGUAAAGUACUUUCAGCGGGGAGGAAGGGAGUAAAGUUAAUACCUUUGCUCAUUGACGUUACUCGCAGAAGAAGCACCGGCUAACUCCGUGCCAGCAGCCGCGGUAAUACGGAGGGUGCAAGCGUUAAUCGGAAUUACUGGGCGUAAAGCGCACGCAGGCGGUUUGUUAAGUCAGAUGUGAAAUCCCCGGGCUCAACCUGGGAACGGCAUCGGAUACUGGCAAGCUUGAGUCUCGUAGAGGGGGGUAGAAUUCCAGGUGUAGCGGUGAAAUGCGUAGAGAUCGGGAGGAAUACCGGUGGCGAAGGCGGCCCCCUGGACGAAGACUGACGCUCAGGUGCGAAAGCGGGGGGAGCAAACAGG